rnacentral:rRNA from 1 species
UGGGGAAUAUUGCACAAUGGGGGAAACCCUGAUGCAGCGACGCCGCGUGAGUGAAGAAGUAUUUCGGUAUGUAAAGCUCUAUCAGCAGGGAAGAUAAUGACGGUACCUGACUAAGAAGCCCCGGCUAACUACGUGCCAGCAGCCGCGGUAAUACGUAGGGGGCAAGCGUUAUCCGGAUUUACUGGGUGUAAAGGGAGCGUAGGUGGUAUGGUAAGUCAGAUGUGAAAGCCCAGGGCUCAACCCUGGGACUGCAUUUGAAACUACCAAACUAGAGUGCAGGAGAGGUAAGUGGAAUUCCUAGUGUAGCGGUGAAAUGCGUAGAUAUUAGGAGGAACACCAGUGGCGAAGGCGGCUUACUGGACUGUAACUGACACUGAGGCUCGAAAGCGUGGGGAGCAAACA